AGAGUUCGAUCCUGGCUCAGGAUGAAUGCUAGCGAUAUGCUUAACACAUGCAAAUCGGACGAAAAGUGAUGUUUCCAGUGGCGGAUGGGUGAGUAACACGUAAGAACCUGCCCUUUGAAGGGGAACAACAACUAGAAAUGGUUGCUAAUACCCCGUCAGCUGAGGAGUAAAAGAAAGAAUCCGUCUGAGGGGCUCGUGUCUGAUUAGUUAGUUGGCGAGGCAAUAGCUUAUCAAGACGAUAAUUAGUAGCUGGUCCGAGAGGAUGAUCAGCCACACUGGAACUGAGACAUAACCUAGACUCCUACAAGAGGUAGCAAUGGAGAAUUUUGUGCAAUAGAUGAAAGUCUGACGGAGCAAUGCCGCGUGAAGGUAGAAGGCCCACGGGUCGUGAACUUUUUUUUUGAAAAAGAAGCAAUAACGGUAUUUGAGAAAUAAGUAUCGGCUAAUUUUGUGCCAGUAGCCACAAUAAGACAGAGGAUGCAAAUGUUAUCCAGAAUGAUUGGGCAUAAAGUAUCUGUAGGUGGCUUUUCAAGUCCGCCAUCAAAUCCCAAGGCUCAACCCUGGAUAGACAGUGGAAACUAUCAAGCUGGAGAGAUCAGAAAGAACACCAACGAUGAAAGCACUCUACUGGGCUGACACUAACAUUGAGAGAAGAAAGCUAGGAGAGCAAAUGGGAUUAAAUACCCUAGUAGUCCUGCCAUAAACAUAUUAAGCACUGUGCAUAUUGACCCGUGCAGUACUAUAGCUAAUGCAUUAAGUAUCCCAUCUGGGGAAUACGUUCGCAAGAAUAAAACUCAAAGAAAUUGACAGGGGCCCGUACAAGAGGUGGAGUAUGUAGUUUAAUUCGAUGCAAAGCGAAGAACCUUAUUGGGGCUUGACAUGCCGUCAAUUUUCUUGAAAGAGAGGGGUACUUUCGAGAAUGUGGACAUAGGUGGUGCAUGGCUAACAUCAGCUCGUAUCGUAAGGUGUUGGGUUAAGUCCCAUAACGAGCACAACCCUCAUGUUUAGUUACCACCGUUGAGUUGGGAACCCUGAACAGAUUGUUGGUGAUAAGUUGGAGGAAGGUGAGGAUGACGUCAAGUCAUCAUGCCCCUUAUGCCCUGGGCGACACAUGUGCUACAAUGGCCGAAACAAAGGAUCACGAUCUCACGAGGGUGAGCUACCUCCAAAAAUCCAUCCUCAUAUCAGAUUGUAGGCUGCAACUUACCUACAUGAAGCCAGAAUUGCUAGCAAUUGCUGAUCAGCCAUAUGGCGGUGAAUUCAUUUUCGAACCUUGUAUACACCAUCCGUCACACUAUGGGAGUUGAUCAUGUUCGAAGUCAUUACCUUAACCACAAGGAGAGGGAUGCUGAAGACUGAGUUAGUGAUUGGAGUGAAAUCAUAACAAGAUAGCCAUACUAAAGGUGCAGUUG
rnacentral:rRNA from 1 species